CUCAGGUGUGUGUGGGAGCCAAAGCAAGAGGCCUAAAAGCCUGUGAUUUCAGGAGAUGAGGACAGUGUGACAUGAGGAGAGGAUGACAGGGGGGUAGGGCCAGUGUGACACGAGGGCAAAGGUCCUCACAUGACAAGGAUCAGUGUGACAUGUGAGAGGGCUCAGCGGGCUAGGUGAAGGGGGCCUGCACCUCACAGAGGAGGGAGUUUAUUUUUAAGUUAAGUGCUGGUAAAUGUCACACAGAGAGGAAGCGAUCAGCCACGCUGACUGAGGACAGGUCUUCUUGCUGGAAGAGGGUAUGGAGACAGCAGACAUGAACAGCUUCCUUCUAGUCUUCACUAUUCUGACAGUGGCUGUGGCAACAACGCCCGGAACACCACCAGCAGAACAGGCAGACUCAGUCGAGCAAUUGUAUCAGGAGAACGUCCAAAAUGAAUCAACCUGUUCGGUCUUCCUGAACUCAGAAAAGGACACCUGUCUGGGGACCCUGAUCCACAAACAGUGGGUUCUCACCGCAGCACACUGCUUCUUACCAUUUCUUGAGAUGGAGAUUGCUAUUUCA
rnacentral:lncRNA from 1 species